GAUGAACGCUGGCGGCGUGCUUAACACAUGCAAGUCGAACGAACCUUCGGGUUAGUGGCGGACGGGUGAGUAACACGUGGAUAACCUACCUAUAAGACUGGGAUAACUUCGGGAAACCGGAGCUAAUACCGGAUAAUAUUUUGAACCGCAUGGUUCAAAAGUGAAAGACGGUCUUGCUGUCACUUAUAGAUGGAUCCGCGCUGCAUUAGCUAGUUGGUAAGGUAACGGCUUACCAAGGCAACGAUGCAUAGCCGACCUGAGAGGGUGAUCGGCCACACUGGAACUGAGACACGGUCCAGACUCCUACGGGAGGCAGCAGUAGGGAAUCUUCCGCAAUGGGCGAAAGCCUGACGGAGCAACGCCGCGUGAGUGAUGAAGGUCUUCGGAUCGUAAAACUCUGUUAUUAGGGAAGAACAUAUGUGUAAGUAACUGUGCACAUCUUGACGGUACCUAAUCAGAAAGCCACGGCUAACUACGUGCCAGCAGCCGCGGUAAAAC
rnacentral:rRNA from 1 species